rnacentral:lncRNA from 1 species
UUUAAGUUGAAUGUAAUGACUAUUGUACCUCCAAUUAUGAAUAAGAAUCGAGUCAUUUAACAUUUGACAUGAACGAUUAGGACAUACAAAUUAUAACACUUUGCAUAGAUUAAUCAAAUUAGAUUUAUUACCAAAGUGUGAUUCAAACCCUAAUCACAAAUGCGAUAUAUGUGUAGAAGCCAAAAUGUCACAUUUACCCUUUCGUUCUAUUGAAAGAAGUACUGAACCCCUAAAUUUAAUUCACACUGACAUAUGUGAUUUAAAAUUUGUUCAAACUGGGGGAAGUAAUAAGUACUUUAUCACUUUUAUCGAUAAUUGUACUCGAUAUUUCUAUGUGUAUUUGCUCAAAAGCAAAGACGAAGCAAUUGAAGCGUUUAAACACUACAAGUUAAAAGUUGAAAAUCAACUUAGUAAAAAGAUUAAGGCCAUAAGAAGUAAUAGAGGUGGUGAAUAUGAUUCACCAUUUGAGAAAUUUUGUUCGGAACACGAAAUUAUUCAUCAAACUACUGCGCCUUAUUCUCCUCAAUCUAAUGGUAUUGCUGAACGCAAGAAUCGAAUAUUGAAGGAGAUGAUGAAUGCUAUGUUAAUAAGUUCUUGAUUACCGUAGAACUUGUGGGGGGAAGCCUUGCUUUCUGCUAACUAUAUUCUUAACAAACUACCACAUCAAAAAACGCAUAAGAUACUUUAUGAAGUAUGAAAAGGUCACAAACCUAAUUAUAAAUACUUGAAGGUAUGUGAAUGUUUGGCUAAGGUAGUAGUUCCUAAACCUAAAAGGGUUAAGAUAGGAUCUAAAACCAUUGACUGUGUAUUCAUUGGUUAUGCCUACCAUAGUAAUGCGUACAGAUUUAUGGUAUAUAAGUCUGAAAUACCCGAUAUGCAUGUUAAUACGAUUAUUGAAUCAAGGGAUGCUACAUUUUUCGAAAAUACUUUUCCUUAUAAUAUGCAAGGUGAAUCAAAUUCACAAAAGAGAUCUCGUGAAAAUGAAGAGACUAUAGAUCAAGAAUCUAUAUAUGAACAACCUAGACGAAGUAAGAGGGCUAGGACGCCAACCUCCUUUAGGCCUGACUUUCUAACAUACUUGUUAGAAAAUGAACCUCAAAGUUUUAAAGAGGCUAUGUCAUCAACUGAAGCUUCAUAUUGGAAAGAAGUUGUUCAUAAUAAAAUUGAAUUCAUACUACAAAAUCAUACUUGGGAAUUAGUAGACCUCCCUCCCGAUAAUAAGCCUUUGGGAUGUAAAUAGAUUUUUAAAAGGAAAAUGAAAGCAGAUGGAUCGAUUGACAAAUAUAAAGCAAGACUUGUCGCUAAAGGCUACAAGCAAAAAGAAGGUCUUAAUUAUUUCGAUACAUAUUUUCCUCUGACAAGAAUCACUUUCAUACGUAUGCUUAUUGCAAUAGCAGAAUUGAAUGAUUUGAAUAUAUAUCAAAUGGAUGUUAAAACUUUUUUGAAUGGGGAAUUAGAUGAAGAAAUUUAUAUGGAGCAACAUGAAGGAUUUGUGGUCUCAGGACAAGAAAAGAAAGUGUGUUGACUUGUUAAAUCACUAUAUGGAUUAAAGCAGGCUCCUAAGAAAUGACAUGAAAAAUUUGAUACGGUUAUGAUGUCAAAUGGUUUUAAAAUUAACGAGUGUGACAAAUGUGUUUAUGUCAAGAACACUCCAAAUGGAUAUGUCAUGGUAUGUUUAUAUGUAGAUGACAUGUUGAUUAUGGGUAACAAUGAUACCAUAAUUCAAACUACAAAAAGGAUGCUAACAAGUAAAUUUGAAAUGAAGGAUUUAGGUGUGGUUGAUGUUAUACUAGGAAUUAAAAUUUUAGAACAUCUGAUGGUCUCAUAU